rnacentral:rRNA from 1 species
AACGAACGCUGGCGGCAUGCCUAACACAUGCAAGUCGAACGAGACCUUCGGGUCUAGUGGCGCACGGGUGCGUAACGCGUGGGAACCUGCCCUUAGGUUCGGAAUACCUCCCCGAAAGGGGUGCUAAUACCGGAUAAUGUCUUCGGACCAAAGAUUUAUCGCCUUUGGAUGGGCCCGCGUUGGAUUAGCUAGUUGGUAGGGUAAAAGCCUACCAAGGCGACGAUCCAUAGCUGGUCUGUGAGGAUGAUCAGCCACACUGGGACGGAGACACGGCCCAGACUCCUACGGGAGGCAGCAGUGGGUAAUAUUGGACCAUGGGCUAAAGCCUGAUCCAGCACUGCCGCGUGAGUGAUGAAGGCCUUAGGGUUGUAAAGCUCUUUUACCCGGGAUGAUAAUGACAGUACCGGGAGAAUAAGCCCCGGCUAACUCCGUG